rnacentral:rRNA from 1 species
GGCUCAGGAUAAACGCUGGCGGCGUGCUUAACACAUGCAAGUCGAACGGAGUGGUUCUCCCGAGAAGUGACGAAGCUUGCUUCGAAAUGACUCAUUGAAUCACUAGUGGCGGACGGGUGAGUAACGCGUGGGUAACCUGCCCUAGUACUGGGGGAUAGCAGUUGGAAACGACUGAUAAUACCGCAUAAGCACACAGCAUCGCAUGUUGCAGUGUGAAAAACUCCGGUGGUAUAGGAUGGACCCGCGUCUGAUUAGCUAGUUGGUGAGGUAACGGCCCACCAAGGCGACGAUCAGUAGCCGGCCUGAGAGGGUGUACGGCCACAUUGGGACUGAGACGCGGCCCAAACUCCUACGGGAGGCAGCAGUGGGGAAUAUUGGACAAUGGGGGCAACCCUGAUCCAAGCGACGCCGCGUGAGCGAAGAAGUAUUUCGGUAUGUAAAGCUCUAUCAGCAGGGAAGAUAAUGACGGUACCUGACUAAGAAGCACCGGCUAAAUACGUGCCAGCCGCGGC